CCUUGUAUUGAAUCCUCUUGGUUUAGAUUUAUUAAUGCAUUUCAGUUGACAAAAAAAAAAGUAAGUUGACAAAUCAAAGAACUUCUGACAUUCUUGCCAAUAACCAACCAAACACAAGAGAGAGUAAACUAUGUAGUGGCCAGCACAAUAACACAAGACCUUACAUAACCAAACCAUCAGUUCACGGUACCAAGCCAGAACCAAAACGCCUAGCAAAAACUCCAAAACGAAAAGAGACCAACACCUGACCUAAAGCCCCUCUUCUCCAGCAAACCUUC
rnacentral:lncRNA from 1 species